UACGUAGGUGGCAAGCGUUGUCCGGAUUUAUUGGGUUUAAAGGGUGCGUAGGCGGCAUUUUAAGUCAGUGGUGAAAUACUUCAGCUUAACUGGAGAGGUGCCAUUGAUACUGGGAUGCUUGAGUACUGAUGAGGUAGGCGGAAUGGACGGUGUAGCGGUGAAAAUGGCUUAGAUAUCGUCCAGAACACCAAUUGCGAAGGCAGCUAACUAUGCGAUGAUUGACGCUGAGGCACGAAAGCGUGGGGAGCAAACAGG
rnacentral:rRNA from 1 species